rnacentral:rRNA from 1 species
GUGCCAGCCGCCGCGGUAAGACAGAGGGUGCAAACGUUGCUCGGAAUCACUGGGCGUAAAGGGCGUGUAGGCGGGAAGGAAAGUCAGAUGUGAAAUCCCCAGGCUCAACCUGGGAACUGCAUUUGAAACUCCCUUUCUUGAGUAUCGGAGAGGAAAGCGGAAUUCCUGGUGUAGAGGUGAAAUUCGUAGAUAUCAGGAGGAACACCAGCGGCGAAGGCGGCUUUCUGGACGAUAACUGACGCUGAGACGCGAAAGCGUGGGGAGCAAACAGGAUUAGAUACCCCAGUAGUCC